ensembl:lncRNA
AUAUAUAUAUAUAUGUGUGUGUGUGUGUGUAGAGAGUAUUGGGAAGUACUACGUAAUGUGUUAGAAAAGUGUCUCAAAGUGAUGUCUUUUAAGGCUAGUUGGGCUGCAAUUGCAAUUGUAAAAAUAUAUAUUGCAUUACUUUAUAUUGAAUAACUGACUGGAUUUACUUUUUGGAUUAAAAUACCUAAUUUUCACUGAUGCAUAAACUGCCUAGAAAAAGUCAAGCUACUAGUCAUUAAUUUUGAAGUUUUUAUUUAAAUAUGUUUGCCAGCAACGUGAGAGAUAAUCAUUUUUAUUCUAAUUGAUACAUGAAAACCUUCAAUUAAUCUGAUCCACUUUUAUGAACUGAGUGUCAUUUGCAGCUAAUAAAUGCCUUUAAUUGAACUCACUAAUUAAAGUUGCGUCCUGUGGAACAAGAUCUCUGCUGCUAAUGACUAAGCCUCAAGUAGCUCAAUUAAAUCAUAUCAAUUACAGCAGCGUUAGUCUUUGGCAUUUAUCUACGUCUUCUGGAUAGGGAUUCUUUAAUGUUUGUUUCUUUACUUGUACGUGUAUAUAAAUCAGCUUGAAAGCUUUUACUUUUAAGAGGUUCCUCUGUCGGCGUGUGAACCCGCGCAUGCCGUCCCAAAAAAGCUCAGCUGACUCAGGCCGGCCCAUGUGGUAACGGCCACGGUCGUCUGCUUGUGGGUACCUCAGUUCAGAACUCUUGGUGGAACUUGUGAACCCCCCCCAACACUUACCCCCACAAACCAUUCAGACAGCCUUCAGAUCAGUGCUGCAGACACGCCACAGGGGCCACUCACCAACAGAGGAGUCUCUGCUUCUCUAAUUAAUGAACAGCAAAACUUCAAAGCCGUGGGCUAAGUCGUGGAGCCGCCCACACUGAAGAGACGCAUUUCAUCACUGAAUCACUUCACGUAGUUGGAUCAGAGCAGCGUGGGAGUAAAUAACCACAGGACAAGAUCUAAUAAGAAUGCGCCGAGCUAGGCAUCCUAUUGAUAAUUAAACAUAACACCAAAAAGGAUUGAAAUUUUUACUCAUGAUUAUUUUUACACUUAUCCUUUCAUGUAGAUGUUUUAUGAGUAUGUGUUUUUUGCAAAUAGUCAACAUUCUCUUCAAGUAAAAAUCAGUUACUACAAAUAUUUACUGUUGUAACGAGGUCAAGAACAAACCUUUUACAUUUCAUAAAUUAUGCUGCGACCCUUGACUUGGGCUAAACAAAACAGUUAUUUGUUACUGUUAACAGAACUGAUUUACCUCUUGGUGUUUCCAUCAUGGCUGCACUGAGAAUGCAUGAAAAAGUUCCACUCUUCCUCCUUUCGAGCUGUUCAUCUCCCUUUGUGUUCAAGGCUGUUUCUCUGACCCACCCCUCGCGCUCUGUUGCAUUAGUUUGUAUUUGCCCAAUUUCAGAGGAAACACAUUUUUCUGUUCCUUUCAGAAUACGUCCUCCACCUGAGCAUAUUUUUAUUCUUUCAUGACACUGCUGAGUUUCACCGCAAGCUUUUAGUUGCUAGUUAUUGCGCAAUGCGUUAAAUGCUUUCCACUCCGUGUGCGGUUUAGAAUCAAAUUGUGGUGCAGGGAAAGUCUUGAAAGCCAAUGCAUUCGAAUAGAUCGUAUUCAUUUUGUUAUAUCACAGGCACUGCUGCGAUGGACGCAUAUUGAUCUGAUUUAAUUCAGCGGUAUUAUCAUUUGAACUAAAGUAACAUAUUUAAAAUCCCUGAAUCUCCACAUUUGCUACCCAUCCCACCAUAUUAUUUAUAAUAACCCACCCUGAGGCAGCAGCCAGCACUACAUCCAAAGAAUGCCAUGGGAGCUUGCUAAUGGCACCAACAUUAAAAACAUCCAGCAUCUGGCCUCCCGUGCAUGAACACAUAUGUCUGGGCUCCACUUUUAACCAGCAGCGCCGCGGGCCCUUUCACUGGCAAUGAAUACGUGAGAGGCGCUGAUAGAAACAAUGUUCGGGAUAAUUCACCACACUUCUCUUUUGUUUGGGCCUAUGAUGAGUCGGGCCUUUUUACAUGAUGAUCUCUCCAGGGAACAGAAGACCUAUUU